rnacentral:rRNA from 3 species
AGACCCGAAACCCGGUGAUCUAGCCAUGGGCAGGUUGAAGGUUGGGUAACACUAACUGGAGGACCGAACCGACUAAUGUUGAAAAAUUAGCGGAUGACCUGUGGCUGGGGGUGAAAGGCCAAUCAAACCGGGAGAUAGCUGGUUCUCCCCGAAAGCUAUUUAGGUAGCGCCUCGUGAAUUCAUCUCCGGGGGUAGAGCACUGUUUCGGCUAGGGGGCCAUCCCGGCUUACCAACCCGAUGCAAACUGCGAAUACCGGAGAAUGUUAUCACGGGAGACACACGGCGGGUGCUAACGUCCGUCGUGAAGAGGGAAACAACCCAGACCGCCAGCUAAGGUCCCAAAGUCAUGGUUAAGUGGGAAACGAUGUGGGAAGGCCCAGACAGCCAGGAUGUUGGCUUAGAAGCAGCCAUCAUUUAAAGAAAGCGUAAUAGCUCACUGGUCGAGUCGGCCUGCGCGGAAGAUGUAACGGGGCUAAACCAUGCACCGAAGCUGCGGCAGCGACACUGUGUGUUGUUGGGUAGGGGAGCGUUCUGUA